rnacentral:rRNA from 11 species
UAUAUUAAAGUUGUUGCAGUUAAAAAGCUCGUAGUUGGAUUUCUGGUGGGAGCGAUCGGUCUGACACUUUGUGUGAGUACUCGUAUUGUCUCCGGCCAUCCUUGGGCGGAGCCUGUCUGGCAUUAAGUUGUCGGGCAGGGGAUGCCCAUCGUUUACUGUGAAAAAAUUAGAGUGUUCAAAGCAGGCUUAUGCCGUUGAAUAUAUUAGCAUGGAAUAAUAAGAUAGGACCUCGGUACUAUUUUGUUGGUUUGUGUGCCAAGGUAAUGAUUAAUAGGGACAGUUGGGGGUAUUCGUAUUCAGUU